rnacentral:rRNA from 1 species
CUCGUAGGCGGCCAACUAAGUCACUACGUGAAAUCCCUCGGCUUAACCGGGGAACUGCGUCUGAUACUGGAUGGCUUGAGUUCGGGAGAGGGAUGCGGAAUUCCAGGUGUAGCGGUGAAAUGCGUAGAUAUCUGGAGGAACACCGGUGGCGAAGGCGGCAUCCUGGACCGAUACUGACGCUGAGGAGCGAAAGCCAGGGGAGCAAACG